CGGAGGGUGCAAGCGUUAUCCGGAUUUACUGGGUUUAAAGGGUGUGUAGGCGGGCUAUUAAGUCAGUGGUGAAAUCUCCGAGCUCAACUUGGAAACUGCCAUUGAUACUAUUAGUCUUGAAUUUUGUUGAGGUAGGCGGAAUAAGUCAUGUAGCGGCGAAAUGCUUAGAUAUGACUUAGAACACCAAUUGCGAAGGCAGCUUGCUAAACAAACAUUGACGCUGAGGCACGAAAGCGUGGGGAUCAAACAGGAUUAGAUACCCUGGUAGUCCACGCCCUAAACGAUGAUUACUCGACAUACGCGAUACACAGUGUGUGUCUGAGCGAAAGCAUUAAGUAAUCCACCUGGGAAGUACGACCGCAAGGUUG
rnacentral:rRNA from 1 species